rnacentral:rRNA from 1 species
UACGGAGGGUGCAAGCGUUAUCCGGAUUUACUGGGUUUAAAGGGUGCGUAGGUGGGUCUGUAAGUCAGUGGUGAAAUCUCCGAGCUUAACUCGGAAACUGCCAUUGAUACUAUAGAUCUUGAAUUAUCUGGAGGUAAGCGGAAUAUGUCAUGUAGCGGUGAAAAUGCUUAGAUAUGACAUAGAACACCAAUUGCGAAGGCAGCUUACUACGGAUCGAUUGACACUGAGGCACGAAAGCGUGGGGAUCAAACAGG